rnacentral:lncRNA from 1 species
UCACUCUCCCAAGGUGAUUGAUACCCCAGCAUAGAAGUCCAGACUGUGAAUCUCAGAUGCCAAGAAAAUACCCACAAUGUUGAUUUUGUCCUGUUUAUUGGGGUGCCACUGUAGGCCGGAGGUACAGUAAAGUCAUUUUGCCUCAAUUCCCUGACACCACCACCCCAGGUAACUACCACGUAUAUAAAUAUAUAUAUAUAAAGUCUGUCAGUAGAAAAGGAAGACGUGUCAGCCUUGGCAGACCUUAGGGCUUCACCUUAGAGAAGAGGUAGGUUCCUUGCCAAGCCCAUCCAUAUGGGCCAGGAAGCCGAGGUUCUGGAGCACAGAACACAUUGUUUCUCCCCCACCCCAGAGUUCUAGAGUCUUUGGUUAGAACCACGUAGUCCAUGGUUAGGGCCAGUAGCCACACCCUUUGUGCUUCUGAGCAACCUGGCACUUCAUUCUGCGUGUGAUCAGGGCACUUAUACAGUGAAGCAAGGCUGUCUGGUUCCCAUGGAGAAGCCUCCUCCCCUGCCUCAGAAACUCCUUCCUGUCACUGGAUUCUGCUGGGACAAGAGCUGGGCUGUCAGGGCCAGGAGGAGGAAGUCCUGAGGCUGGAGCUGGUGCACCAAGGAAGGAAGAUGGAUGGUCACAGUGCUGGUACAGAUGGGUAUGGCUGUGGCCUGGGUCUGCAGUAGCUCGGAGUCCACAAGGAACAGAAGGGAUCCUUCCCCGCCCUGGCAGGGAGGAGGGCAAGCUGGCCCUGUGCAGAAGCACUAGGCCUCAGGUAGCAUCAGCAAGCGUCCCAGGAAGACAUCCUCCUCUCAGCACCAGGAUGGGGAUCUUACUGGCCCAGGUGGACAAGUAGCUCCUGCAGGUCUUCACAAAUGAUGCCUGGUCCUCUGGGAAGCAAAAGCCAACCCUUUGGCUCUAGGCUCAAAGAGCUGACUCAGGGAAGAGUUGAUUCUUCAGCUGUGGCCUCUGGUACUCCCUUAGAGGCUUUCCUAGCUGGUCAGGAUGCCCCGUGCUGCCAGGGACCCUCAAGCCCCUCAAGCCUCACUGAUCUGGUGACACUUUGAAGCACCUCAUCUUCCCCCAGACAACAUCUUAGGACUCUUCUAGCCAGACACAUGCUAUCCUGCAAGUGAGCCUAGCAGUGGCAGAUGACGUCAGCUCUGGGCCAGCCCCUGAAGGAGGCAGAUCAAAUUGUCCAGACCCCAGAGGUAGCCGUCCUCACGGUUGCCCUCUGUCCAAGGCAGCCUGUGACUGAGCAUCUGGUGGUCAGGCAGGGCCACUGUCUUGCCGAAGUCAAUCAUCCAGACCUUGGCCAGGCCAGUGUGGUCAUGCACAAAGAGAAGGGAACUGCCCACUACCUGCAGCAGAGAGUGAGAGAAAAGCAGUUAGAGAAAGGAGCAAGCACUAGCUAAUGUAUUUCCCGGUGAGCAGUAAACAGGGUGGUAAGACAGCAGAAACUCUGGAAUGAGGCUACCCACGUUCAAAUCCUGACUCUGAUUCUACAUAAACAGAAUAAUUGUAUAAUUACAUGUAAUGGGCAUAAAUCAUUUCAAAUGGUUCCUGAAACACAACAAAUACACAAUGAAUGUUAGAAUUUGUGUGUGUGUGUCCAUGCAUGAGUACACCCAAAGGAUGGCCCAGAGACUCCGAUAACCUAAGCAAAUAAGCAGGAGUUCACAGGGGAGCUACACCCCUAGGCCCUGUCACCUUCACUUUCUAGCCCUCACUUCUUUGUUUGACAGGGUCUUAGUCCCAGAUGUUCCUGAGCUACCUAGACAGUCCAGGAUGUCCUUGAACUCCAGAUCGUCCUGCCUCUAUAGCGUCCUACAUGGUUUGUGUUAACAAGGUCUCCUCCUACAGGCCAGACUGGCCUGCCUCCCAGCCUUCCUGCUUUUUCCUCCUCCUCCUCCGUGCUAACAGUGUGAGCCACCAGCACACUGGGCUAUUUGCGGUCAUCAUUUCUUAAUCUACUUCACAAGCUCAAAUGUAGUCUCAGCCUUGACCGAGUUAGUGAACUGAGACUGGACAGCAGACCUGGAGAACUUUGCUAGAUUAAGACAGUAGUUUCUUAGGCCUACUGGACUGUGGCUGAUGAUGUUAGACAAGUGGCUUCCUUCCUCUGGCCUUGGUGUCCUGUCUGUACGAUGGGGAAGUCGGUAACCCUCUACCUCCUGGGGUCACCAGAAGAACCCUACAAGCCACAGGCUCCUCAAGUGCCUCCCAGUAUCUGCCUUGAAGUCCUCCUUAGUGGGUGCUGUCAGUGGAGCUUCUAUUUACUUGUUUGAGAGACAGCCAUUGCUGAGCAGGUGUGGUACAUCCACAAUCCAAGCACUGGGGAGGCAGAUGAAGGACAGCCAUAAGCUUGAGGUCAGCCUGGGCUGCACAUGAGUUCUGGGCCUGCCGAAGUCCUGCCGAAGCUAACAGAGUAAACUUGCCUCAAAACAAAGUCACUAAGCCAGCCAUGGUGAUACACUGCCUUUAAUCCCAGCACACAUAGGCAGGUGAAUGUAUAUGAGCUCAAGGCUAGCCUGGGCUACAAAGUGAACAGAUGGGCUAGUGAGACGAAAGGCACUUGCCACCCAACCUGAUGACCCAAGCUGAGUUUGAUUCCUGGGACCCACACAGUGGAGAGAAGAUUCCCCCAUAAGUUGUCCUCUAACCUCCAGUACCUGUCUGGACUGCUAGACCUUGUGAGCCUUAACCUGAGGCAGGAGAAUUAAAAGUCCAAGGCCUGUAGCCUAGACUACAGAGUGAGCUCUUGAGUGUGUCGAGCUUUUGGGGCAGCUUCUAGAAAUUUGGCAGGAAUUUGACAUUGGGCCAGGACAUGGAAGUAAGCUCAGGCAGGAAUCUGAUUUGGGGCUAGAACAAAGAAGUAGGCUUUAGGCAAGAAUUUGACUUUGGACUAGGACUGGUAAGUAGGCUCAGACAUCUUGGUCAUCCUGAUGAGCCUCUAGAAACGGUGACCACAGGGCUUUGUUACCUUGCUUGUUGCUUAACCUGUAACUGACCUUAUUAUCUGCACGUAAUUAAAAUGCUAUAAAAGCAGACUAGGGAAAAAUAAACCCGCUUCAGCCUCAGAACUGGCUGAGGUCACGC